rnacentral:rRNA from 1 species
UACGGAGGGUGCAAGCGUUGUUCGGAAUUACUGGGCGUAAAGCGCGUGUAGGCGGCCUUCUAAGUCUGGUGUGAAAUCCCGGGGCUCACCCCCGGAAGUGCACUGGAAACUGGAAGGCUAGAGUACCGGAGAGGAGGGUGGAAUUCCUGGUGUAGCGGUGAAAUGCGUAGAUAUCAGGAGGAACACCGGUGGCGAAGGCGGCCCUCUGGACGGAUACUGACGCUGAGGAGCGAAAGCGUGGGGAGCAAACAGG